rnacentral:lncRNA from 1 species
AUUAAUCUCACAUGAGAAAUAUGCAAAACAACCCACUGGAAGAGAAUUUUUAUUGGAAUAUUAAACUAAUAUAAAAGCAACAUUUUACCCUAGGCUAUGUGAGCCGGAAAUGCUUUGCUAAAUUGUGGCGGGCAGGGAGAGGGAGGCAGGGAGUGCAAACCAUGCUUCAAACCGGUGGUGGUGGGGGCGGUGCUUUGGGUAGCAGCUGACAGCCUGACUGAGGUUGAAGCCCUAUAGUGCAAACUUAAGAAUACUAUAAAACAGCUUAUUUUCUCCACACUUAGUGUGAGACUUAAAACUAAAUCCACCGCACAAUAUUUCUUCUUGAGAUACCUUCUACCUUUUGCCAUGUGUUAUUUCUUGGUUUUGUUUUUUCUGUGUCGGGAGGAACAGUACCCCAUUCUGUAUUUGGUUCAAGCUCCAGCAAACUGCUCACGUGCCUCGUAUGUUCUACAAGAUUCGCACACUGGGAUGGCUCAUGUGGUGUCAUGAAUUGUGAACAUUACUGUGCAGUCAUUCUCAGAAGCUCUGAGAUGCAAGACAUUAUUUGUCAAGAUUGCAGAGAUACCAAGAAUCACCUGGAAACUUAGAGAAAAAAAUGCAAAUGCUGGAGAACUGAUGAUGAUGGGAUCUGAAAAUACUCAUCUUAAACAAGCAUUCUAGGCACUAAGGACUGCUCUUGGGAAGCUCCAUAAAACUGCUAGAAAUAGCAUGAGGCUCAUCUGGUGCAAGACUCCGGGGAGAAAGAGCAGGGGGAAUGCUCCAGGGAAGCAGGAACACACUUUUCUCAAGGUCUGAAGAACAAUUCUAAAGCCUCCUCAAAGCACACCUACUCUCUCAUUCAAAUUUGUCCCAGAGAUGUAUGAGCCCCGAGUUAGAAAGCCAGUGAAAGCGUAGGCUCAUAAACGCAUUAACAUCUAGGUUUAUCCCAAAAAGGACCAGAGCAUCCUGCCUGGCUAGCAAGUUAGAUAAUCCAAGAAUGAGGGUGGGAAAGAAAAAUUAAGUUUCUGGAAGAUUUAAGAUCCAGUAAAUACUGAUGUACUUCCAAUAAUGUCAAAUAAAGUUAUUUCUAAAGGUAUGAUGCAUUUAUAAAAAACAGUUAAAUUAAGAGAAAUAGAUUCAAUGAACCUUUUUUCAUGUGUGAAAAUAGUCCAAAAUUAACACAGCUUGAUUGGAGGAUAAUCUAGAGAGUGGGGGAAAAGAAAGAAAUUGUUUAUUUUAUAAUUAUAAAUUGAUUUUUAAGUUGCAUUAAACUGUUAAAAAGCUACCUGAAAAAAAUAAUCAAAUCUGACUUUUUUUUCAAACCCUAAUGCACUUUUAUUCCUAAAAUAAAUGCAAAAAUGUGUCUUACGUUUAUUGUUAAAGAUUUGUCUUCC